rnacentral:lncRNA from 1 species
AAAAAAUUAGACCUAUACCUACACCCUAAGAACUCUAGAAUGAGCCGCAGCUGAAGCCAUCAGCUCUAACUUAACUACUUGGCAGAAUCUUGCCAAAAUUCAACGCCCCUCACUCCCUGCAAAUUCCCACAAGCCAACCCCCCAAGAAGACAAUCGGCCACCCCUUUUAAUUCCCCAUCCCCCUCGCUAGAGAACGAAAAAGAAAACUAGCCGCAGACACACAUAGAGGGACGACAGUCUCUUUAAAAAUGAAAGAGAAGACCAGCCGCUAAAGAAAAAUUAAUCCAGCUUCGGUAAGUUUUCUAUCCAGCUUUCAAUAUGUGCAGGUGUAAAUUAAUCUUUAUAUUAAAGUUGAUAUGUACAUUUUAUUGGUUGGAAUAAUCUGAAUCGAAAGGAGUGCUAAUGUUUGUUUUAGCGAUGAUCUUUUGGUGUUUCCAUCUUCAAAUUAAGUAGCCUCAGCUAUCUCUUUGUGUGUGUGAUUUUAAAUCUUAGAAACAUUGCAUUGGAUCGAAGCUAGCAAGUUUUUCUUUUAAAAAAAAAGUGGCCAUUUCCUGUUCAUUAGUUUUAGCAUUUUUAAUUCAAGGUUAAAUGGUUGCAUGACUAGUUAUAAGAAUUAAUUGUAGUUUUUGUCUUAUCUUUGGAUAGUGAUCUGCACAUAAUUGAGUUAAAUCUUAUUAGCUAGAGUCUUAUAUCAUUCCACAACAAUUUCCCUAAUUCAAGGCCUCGCAAUAAUUUCAAAGAUUAGGAAAAUAAUUCAAAUACGCUUGUGGCUUUAGGCACGCAAUUAGAUUAUUACAACUAUGGGUACGGUUCCCGUAACGUGGUUGUGACACCUAAUUUUAAAUUAGAUUAAAGUAGGAGCAUCUUUAGUUUGCCUCCAAAAAAAUACAAAUCUUUUCCUUUAAAAAUAAUUUGAGGUGCGUCAUACACAAAUAAAAUCCUAUAAUCUAUGGCCCUCACAUAAAUACAAACAUUAGUCUGCAAAACGCCUUGAAUUUUCGUAACGUUAAUUAAAUAAAUUGUCAUAGCUAUGGGUACGGUUCCCGUGACGUAGUUGUGACGCUUAACUACUAAAAUCUUGGGGUACAUUUAUGUGGCCCGGCCCCAAUUUAAUCUUAAUAAAAUAAAUACGUUGUGGAUCGUGGGUACGGUUCCAGUGACAUGAUUCACAACGUGUAAUCAAUAAUUAGUUGUAUAACAGUUGGAUUAUUAAAACCGAUUUUAAAAAAGAGUUUAAAAUGCACAUAGGUCUCAAAGAUGUUUUAAAAUCAAAUAAAUAGGCCAGUAUUAAUAGUUGAGCGACUGUGCCAAAACCACGGAACUCGGGAAUGCCUAACACCUUCUCCCAGGUUAACAGAAUUCCUUACCCAAAUUUCUGUGUUCGCGGACUGUAAAACAAAGUCAUAUUUUCCUCGAUUCGGUAUUUUAAACCGGUGACUUGGGAAACCAAUAAACUAUCUAAAGUGACGGCUUUGAAUUUAACAUAAAUGAUCCCGUUUCGAUUGUCACUUAAAUUGGAAAAACUCUCCUAUAACCUUUCGGGGGUAGAAAAAAGAGGUGUGACAGCUCUGGCGACUCUGCUGGGGACAAGAACCCAGAAUCUCUGGUUCAGGGUUCAAGAUUUCGAACUUAGAAUAAUUGUUAUAUUUGGCUUUGUUUAUUACCUGGUUUUAAUUACAUGUUUGGGCCUAAUGUGCUAAAUCUUGCUUUUUACCGCUUUGAUAUUAUCCGAACUAUAUAUAAACUGCUACGAAACCCUUCUCUUCUCACCUUCGGGGAUGUGCACGCUGGCGUGACUCCUCUUCUGUUAGUGUCAUACCUUAAAUUAGGAAAAGGCUCGGACAAGUUACAAAACCGGAUGGCCUUUUGGUUUCCAGUACGUAGCCCCCCAUCGGCUCGAGUUGUCCGCUCGGGUACACAAGUCUAGAACAACAUACCCAAGUUUUAAACUUAGAAUAACUCAGCUUCAUGACGGAUCCUUAGUAGGAACGCUUGUUUGCAUCAUAUGCAUUUGACUUUGGAGACUCAACACAAGGGUUGGGUCCGUCUAGGACAGAUGUACCUAAAAAAAAGACCAUCCCGAUGCAUCCUAUGUGCUACACUUUUGCAAUUUUCAAGGGUAAAAGGGUCAUUUGGCGGACCAAUAAUAGUUGAGGAAAAAUAAAAAUAAAAGAAAAAGAGAGGGUGAAGUGUGAAAAAUAAAGCAAGUAGGGCCCAAUUAUGUUUUUAGUCACAUUUUUAUUAAGAACAAGAAAAAAAAAUGAACAAUUCAAAAAAAAAGAUUUUGUACCUUUUUUAUCAUUUUUCGAAGAUCAAAAAUUAAAAAAAAGGAAAAGAAAAUCCAAAAAGAAAAAGAGUUUACAUGUUUCAUCAUUUUUCAAAAAAAAGAGAAAAAAAAACAUAUUUUUCUAUAAAUUAGUUUGUUGUUUUUUUUAAUUCUCGCCUGUAUCCAAUCUGCCCGAACUACGCAUACCUGAUCCUCGUCUUUCGGGGCGUGAUACGUAGGCAACCCACAUAGGGUCCGGUCUUCCUAGUAAGUCUUAGGUUUUUGGCUUCGCGAGGUCGUAGCCAAAUCUUGCAUGUCUAGCCACUUUUGGCCACAUCGGUCAUUAUGCAAAAUAUGGCUAUUUUUGCAAAGUGGUUUGUUUCAUUGUCUGGAGUCUUGAAUUCACAAUUAGGUGUCUCUUUACUUUAUAGGUCCGUCCUUGUCAAAAUUGCAUGUCGAGCCGCUUUUGGCCACAUAGGCCAUUUUGCAAAGUGGGGUUAUUUUCGCGAAAGUGGUUCAAUUACCCCAUGUUUUAGAGUUCUAAGUCCACAACAAGAUGUUCUCUCUGUUCAAGGUCCAUUCUGUUGGAUUUGCAUGCUUAGCCAUCUUUUGGCCACAUUGGCCAUUUCUACAAAAUCGGUUAUUUCUACAAAAGUAAUUUUUCCAUGUCUUAGAGGUCACCUUUGUUGAGUUUGCAUUUCUAGCCGUCUUUUGGCCAUGUUAGCUAUUUUGCACAAUCAUGUCUUGCAUGUGUAACAGGGAGUGUUAUUGUCUCACAUAGUGUUCUAAAUUCUUAACUCUAUUUGUCUUUAGUUUCUUAUGCAAGUAUAAAUCUACUUAACAGAAUUUGAGCAUGACAAACACCCCAGGACCGCCUGGUCAGGACCAUUGCAUCCAGGAGUUUCUUAAGGAGGAAUUUUUUAUAUUUUGAGUCUGUUUCUUUUAUGAUGUCUUGUACUUUAUAGUUAUGUCCAGUAGCAAUGAUCUUUUAGUUGGUGUCGGAGUUUGUCGUAGUAUAGUUGAGUUGAGUUUCUCAUUAUCCUAUUUCCUGUUUUUGUUUUGAAAAUCAAAAAACGUUGUAAAUGAA